GGUUCGAUCAUGGCUCGACGAACGCUGGUGAUGCUGCUUAUCAUAUAAGUCGAACGCAAUUUGACGCUGUCUGCGUGGCGAGGCGAAACGGUGAGUACGUAUCGAACGCCCAGGUGAAGGGAAACUACGCAGGAGCGUACAUUAUCGCACGCCCUCGGAAAGGCGAACUUUCCGGCCUCUGCACUAUUAGAGCGGGCUGAUAUCAACACAGUCGUGGUGACGGUUCACUGGUGCGACCGAAUCCGUAAUGGUUGAGAGGGACGUCCGUCGCCACACUGACGAGAUACGCCUGUGACCGGCUGGAGGGCAGCAGGGAAUUCUGACAAUGGGGGAAACUCCUGAUCCAGCCAUCCCGCGUGUGCGAUGAAGGCCUUCGGGUUGUAAAAAAGCACUUUGGCAGGGGAGGUAAAGAAACGGCACGGGAUAAUACCCCGUGCAACUGACGGUACCUGCAGAAUAAGCACCGGCUAACUACGUGCCAGCAGCCGCGGUAAUACGUAGGGUGCAAGCGUUAAUCGGAAUUACUGGUCGUAAAGCGUGCGCAGGCGGUUCUCCGAAAGAAAGAUGUGAAAUCCCAGAGCUUAACUUUGGAACUGCAUUUUUAACUACCGAGCUAGAGGUGUCAGAGGGAGGUGGAAUUCCGCGUAGCAGUGAAAUGCGUAGAUAUGCGGAGGAACACCGAUGGCGAAGCGCAGCUCUCCUGGGAUAACACUGACGCUCAUGCACGAAAGCGUGGGGAGCAAACAGGAUUAGAUACCCUGGUAGUCCACGCCCUAAACGAUGUCAACUAGCUGUUGGGGCCUUCGGCCUUACGUAGCGCAGCUAACGCGUGAAGUUGACCGCCUGGGGAGUACGGUCGCAAGAUUAAAACUCAAAGGAAUUGACGGGACCCGCACAAGCGGUGGAUGAUGUGGAUUAAUUCGAUGCAACGCGAAAACCUUACCUACCCUUGACAUGUCUGAAUCCCGAAGAGAUUUGGGAGUGCUCGCAAGAGAACCGAACACAGGUGCUGCAUGGCUGUCGUCAGCUCGUGUCGUGAGACGUUGGGUUAAGUCCCGCAACGAGCGCAACCCUGUCAUUAGUUGCUACGAAAGGGCACUCUAAUGAGACUGCCGGUGACAAACCGGAGGAAGGUGGGGAUGACGUCAAGUCCUCAUGGCCCUUAUGGGUAGGGCUUCACACGUCAUACAAUGGUCGGGACAGAGGGUCGCCAACCCGCGAGGGGGAGCCAAUCCCAGAAACCCGAUCGUAGUCCGACUGCAGUCUGCAACUCGACUGCGUGAAGUCGGAAUCGCUAGUAAUCGCGGAUCAGCAUGUCGCGGUGAAUACGUUCCCGGUCUUGUACACACCGCCCGUCACACCAUGGGGAGUGGGUUUUACCAGAAGUAGUUAGCCUAACCGUAAGGAGGGCGAUUACCACGGUAGGAUCUAUGACUGGGGUGAAGUCGUAACAAGGUAG
rnacentral:rRNA from 1 species